rnacentral:rRNA from 1 species
UGGGGAAUUGUUCGCAAUGGGCGCAAGCCUGACGACGCAACGCCGCGUGGAGGACGAAGAUCUUCGGGUCGUAAACUCCUUUCGAUCAGGAAGAACGGCUUCCGGCCAAACAUGCCGGGAGAGUGACGGUACCGAGAGAAGAAGCCCCGGCUAACUCCGUGCCAGCAGCCGCGGUAAUACGGGGGGGGCAAGCGUUGUUCGGAAUUACUGGGCGUAAAGGGCUCGUAGGCGGCCAACUAAGUCGGAUGUGAAAUCCCCAGGCUUAACUUGGGAACUGCGUCCGAUACUGGAUGGCUUGAAUCCGGGAGAGGGAUGCGGAAUUCCAGGUGUAGCGGUGAAAUGCGUAGAUAUCUGGAGGAACACCGGUGGCGAAGGCGGCAUCCUGGACCGGUAUUGACGCUGGGUGUAGCGAAAGCCAGGGGAGCAAACGGGAUUAGAUACCCCGGUAGUCCUGGCCCUAAACGAUGAAUGCUUGGUGUGACGGGUAUCGAUCCCUGUCGUGCCGAAGCUAACGCAUUAAGCAUUCCACCUGGGGAGUACGGUCGCAAGGCUGA